rnacentral:tRNA from 1 species
GCGAGAGUGGCGGAACUGGUAGACGCGCUGGACUUAGGAUCCAGUGGCCUAAAGCUGUGGGGGUUCAAAUCCCCCCUCUCGCA